AAAAACUCCAUCAAGCAGCAGGUCUUCUUGCCUCGGGCUGGAAAAUAGCCUCGUCCAAAAAUAACUUCAUCCGAAAGGAUUCUAAUCUGUGGCUCAGCAGUCUAUUACACAGACUGACAGAUUCUGGAGGACAUCCAGCUGAUGAUAAAUCCCUCACUCCAAAAGAAAAUAUAAUCCGGAUUUAAAUCGGCCCGCAGUAACAGAACCACAGAACUGGGGUCCUGACACUGACACGCCCACUUUUCCCGUUCACCUGGAAUCACAAAGGAGAUGUUCCUGUAUGAGUUAAACUGCUGGGGGAUUAUCUUCUGUUCUGCUCUUUAUAAUCAGGACGUCUGAAGGUGUGUGCAGUGGCUCUUCUAUAAUCUCUCUUACAGUCUCCAUCACACUGUUUAUAGUCUCCAUUCUAAUCUAGUCACAGUGUUUAUUGUAGAAACCUGCAUGAGACGCAUUUUUCAGUCCCGUUCCCUCAAAAAAAAACAUUUUAAAGGCAGGUAAAAUGUAUGUUGUUUUAUUUCCAGUGCUCUGACUGCGUCUUCCUGCUACGCUGCUUUUAGUUUCACUCGCUUUCCUUUUAAAUUUAAGUUACAUUUUUUGUGUAAAUGAUGAACAUGGACAUGAACAAGGAAC